rnacentral:rRNA from 1 species
AGUGAACGCUGGCGGUAGGCCUAACACAUGCAAGUCGAACGGCAGCACAGUAAGAGCUUGCUCUUACGGGUGGCGAGUGGCGGACGGGUGAGGAAUACAUCGGAAUCUACUUUUUCGUGGGGGAUAACGUAGGGAAACUUACGCUAAUACCGCAUACGACCUACGGGUGAAAGCAGGGGAUCUUCGGACUUUGCGCGAAUGAAUGAGCCGAUGUCGGAUUAGCUAGUUGGCGGGGUAAAGGCCCACCAAGGCGACGAUCCGUAGCUGGUCUGAGAGGAUGAUCGGCCACACUGGAACUGAGACACGGUCCAGACUCCGACGGGAGGCAGCAGUGGGGAAUAUUGGACAAUGGGCGCAAGCCUGAUCCAGCCAUACCGCGUGGGUGAAGAAGGCCUUCGGGUUGUAAAGCCCUUUUGUUGGGAAAGAAAAGCAGCAGGUUAAUACCCCGCUGUUCUGACGGUACCCAAAGAAUAAGCACCGGCUAACUUCGUG